GGAGGCGUCGCAUAGCGGCCUAGUGCACACGCUUGGAAAGCGUGCGUCCGCAAGGACUCGUGGGUUCGAAUCCCACCGCCUCCG
rnacentral:tRNA from 1 species